rnacentral:rRNA from 1 species
AGAACGACUCUCGGCAAUGGAUAUCUUGGCUCUCGCAUCGAUGAAGAACGUAGCGAAAUGCGAUACUUGGUGUGAAUUGCAGAAUCCCAUGAACCAUCGAGUCUUUGAACGCAAGUUGUGCCCGAGGCCUUCUGGCCGAGGGCACGUCUGUCUGGGCGUCA